rnacentral:misc_RNA from 1 species
AAGUCGUAACAAGGUCUCCGUUGGUGAACCAGCGGAGGGAUCAUUAACGAGUUGCAAAACUCCCAACCCUCUGUGGACCCCCCCGGAUCGCUGCUUCGGCGGUGGGGAGCCCUGAAACGGGCGACCGCCGCCGGGCGAAAACACAAACUCUGUAUUUUUCUGGCAUCUCUGAGUACUCUUAUAAUGAGUCAAAACUUUCAACAACGGAUCUCUUGGUUCUG